GUGUUUUGGCUUAGUUGUCUCUGGAGCACAUGAAAACUCCACAGUUAUGCGUGCUCAUGUGGAGUAGUAUUGGGAUGGGUGACCUCUUGGGAAGUCUACAACGGAACAAC
rnacentral:rRNA from 1 species